CCUCGGGAGACUCGAACUCGCAAUCUCUCGGUUGGAAAUGAGGUUGCUUACCAUCAGAGCAACUCCUCUUGUCUUAACAUUGAUGAACUUUUAAAAUUGUUUUUCUUCCCUAACCUUUACUAAAAAGUAUGUUAGUAUUUUUUUUUUUAAAUUUUGUUCUAUGAAUUAGAAUAAGGAUAAAAUAAUAUGUAUUUAGUUUCCGUUAAAAGGGUUAAGUGAGUUUCCAUGUUUACUGUUGCAAAAAUAGAUUAUACUUAUGCUAGCUUUGUUAGUUUAACUUUUAGAUCUCAAAUGAACGUGUAAAAAACUAUCUUCAUAUCCUUUUUUUUAGGAAAGUACGAGUAUGUUUAAUUCACUGAAGGAAGAUAAUUGUUUUCACUUUAAUGAAAGCCUAAAAUUGGGGUUUAAGCUAGAAGAUUGACUUAUAUGUUGACUUUGUUUCCGUAAUCUAUUUCAGGUUUUUUUUUCUUAAUAAUAUUUAUCUAAUCUGUAUCUUCUUUUAUCUUUGUUUGCAUAUGCACUUGGAGUAAUAUGAGUCUUACUGCAAGACUCGCCAAACCGAGCAUGGAGUCAUCACUGCACUGUACGCUAAUGGAGAACAAGAAAACAAGCAAAUUUGCUUGGGGUCGCCUAUGGCAGCUUUCGUUUUAGCAUAAGUUCUGUUUCUCUUAGUUGAUUCUUAUUUAUGUGAUUUGGAUUUUUCAGUUUAGAUUCAUCCUUAGUAUGGUAUUGACAAUCAAGUUUGAAUUUGGUAUUUCCACUUUAGGAUGAUAACAAAUUAUUUAUCCAUUAUAGUGCUCUUGUCGGUUUUAAUAUGAACUAGUAAAACUAAAUGCGUGUCAUAUUUAUUAAAAUCAG
rnacentral:lncRNA from 1 species